GGAAGGAAGGCUAUGUGGGCAGCUGCUAAAAGUGUGAGUGCUGACUGUGCAUCUGUCUGAUAUCCAGGCAUUCUGAGACUGCAAUGCUUGCUCUAGGUUGAGACCAAGACCACUACUGGGAACAACAGCCCAUCUUGCUAGAGGACACAAUCAAUCCUGGGCUGGAGCCAGGAUCCACCCCUUCCCAGACCCCAUUUAAAGUCUGACAGUGAAGGUGAGAGCAUCUGGCUGGAGAUCCCUGCAUACUGGAGGCUUUCUCAAGCUGGGGAGCCCAGGCUUGCCUUGAAGAUGAAAUACCAGGAGCUGAGCAUGCAGUGACCGUGAGGUUCAUGACAGAAACCAGUCCCAAAUAUCCUUAUGGGAAGAUAUCUUCACGUAAGUACUUUUCUUUCAAGGAUGUGAGAGAACGAAGCCAGGAGAAGUGGAUAUUACCAUUUAAUAUGCAAAGACAGUUUCAAUAGUUACCUUAAUGUUCUCUAAUUAAGUGUGGGAAUACGCAACACAUCCUAAGGGCUGGUUACAGCCUCUUUCUUCGCUGCACUCAAACAUGUUUUGCCACCAUGGUCAAAUAUUUUUCAAUGUUUUCUCACAAGUCACAGCUACCAGCCAGCCUCCUAAAAUGCAGGAUAUCCCAGCCCCAAUUCAUUUACCACCUAGAGCCAUCAGCAGAAACGUGUAACAGUCAGGGCAAGAGCUUGGAACUGGACAACAUUAACUGGGAUGUUGGAGCUCCCAGUUCUUCAGUCACUGCAUAGAACCUCUCCAGGCCACUGGCUGCAAUCCAGAAAAAUGAAAUCUCAGGUCUUUCUUUGACUUGUACUCUGAUCUUAUUUUUUUUGCAGCUGUGAAAUCUCUGAAGGAAUGCCUUACGGGCUGCCCAGAGAGGCUGUGGAUGCUCCAUCCCUGGAGGUGCUCAUGACCAGGUUGGAUGGAGCCCCGGGCAACUUGGUCUAGUACCAAACCUGGAGGUACACAGCAAGCAGAACAGCAUGACCACAAAACUCAUACUGUAAGUGGGAAGAGCAUCUGCCUCCAAUUUUUCAGUGAAACAAACCCAUGAAGCUUAAUUUAAUAACAACCUCCUGCUACAACCACAAAUAAAAUCCUUCAAGGUUGGCUGAGUUUAAAACCAGAAGCUGGCACCUCUUCAGAAGCACAUCAGGGGAGGAAGUCUUCCUGCUUUGACACAGCUGUGAGGAGGAGGACUGGAGCUCUGCAGCAGGGCCAGGCAUGCAGAGAGCAGACAGAGCUGGUCACUCCUCCUCAGGAAGCCUUCAUCCAGCAGAUGUUCUUCAUUCAGAGGCCAACCUUCGAAUGAGCCCAGGGAGGGCUGGACUGGUCAGUUGGGGAGCACAAGUAAAUU